ACUCAAAGGAAUUGACGGGGGCCCGCACAAGCGGUGGAGCAUGUGGUUUAAUUCGACGCAACGCGAAGAACCUUACCUGGGCUCGAACGGGUUUGGACCGGAGGUGGAAACACUUCCUUUCCCGCAAGGGACUGAAUCCGAGGUGCUGCAUGGCUGUCGUCAGCUCGUGUCGUGAGAUGUUGGGUUAAGUCCCGCAACGAGCGCAACCCUUGUCCUGUGUUGCCAUGCCGAAAGGCGGCACUCUCAGGAGACCGCCAGCGACAAGCUGGAGGAAGGUGGGGAUGACGUCAAGUCAUCAUGGCCUUUAUGUCCAGGGCUACACACGUGCUACAAUGGGCGGUACAAAGCGCAGCGAACCCGCGAGGGCAAGCAAAUCGCAAAAAACCGUUCUCAGUUCGGAUUGCAGGCUGCAACUCGCCUGCAUGAAGCUGGAAUCGCUAGUAAUGGCGCAUCAGAACGGCGCCGUGAAUACGUUCCCGGGCCUUGUACACACCGCCCGU
rnacentral:rRNA from 1 species